AACUGAAGAGUUUGAUCAUGGCUCAGAUUGAACGCUGGCGGCAGGCUUAACACAUGCAAGUCGAGCGGGGGAAGU
rnacentral:rRNA from 1 species